ACCCGACUUUAUUUGUACGUGCGUUUCUUUUCCAAAACGAGAGCCUCCAUCUCCAUCUCCAUCUCCAUUCUCCAUCUCCAUUCCAAUGAUCAUCUCCUCACAUGUCUUUCCUAAUAAAUUCCAUCUGAGCAUCGUGAAUCCUUCAUUCGUUUCAUUCAACACGGCUAUUCUGACCCAAAUCAAAGGACGCUUCUUUCUAAACCCUAGCCUCCUUCAUCUCGCUCUUCUGGAUCAAUCAUAUUCUCAUCAAAUGGUUCAAUAAUCAGGUAUGAUUCCUUUCAAUCACAGGUAUGAUUCCUUCAACCAACUUUAAUCUGAUUCUUGAUUAUGUUAGUUUUUUUUAAUUGUAAUGAAGUUGAAGAUUUUAGUGACUCUGGUUCAAGGUCACGGAGUAUAGACUUUCGGCUCCGAACCGAUAUAUCACCGAGAUAUCACCGAUAUUAACUGCAUAGGGCUAACUAUGUAUUGAAGAACUUGCUAAACUAUCACAAUGAAGGUACGUUGGAAUCUUCACAGCCCACGCGUAUUUCCUAAACCCUAGCUAUCAAAAUCAUCUUCCUUCUUGACUAUUCUACGAUCCAGACGCAAUCAGAUGCAGUCUUUUCAAGUGCAGUUUGUAUGUCUCGCAACGUCAGUUAUCCUGUUCGACUUGGAUUUAAGCGAACUUCAAUAGUCAUUAUCCCCUCGGUAUUAAGGUUGGUGCAGUUCGUUCAUUCGAGAAUAUCCAAUUCUGCAUCUCAACAGAUUUGCUAGCUCUCAUUGAGGUUCUUACCAUCUAGUGUCCAAAUAAUCUUGUGGGGAUCACACAAAUUACUCAAGUUUUUCAAGAUACUAACAUUGGUUAAUCAAGAUAAUGACAAAACUGCACUUCAGGCCGUCUCUCACGGGAGUUCAGUACAUGAUAUAGUGUAUAUGCUCUUUAAUGGAUUGUAGAAGUUAAUGGGAAACUAACUCUUAAUGUAACAAAGGUACAUAUUAUAAAUGCUUUUAUUAAUGAGGUCACAAUGGAUAUGGUUUAGCAUGUUGUGGUCUAGAGUUGACAAAAAUUUCUAAUAUUUUCAUUUUUAUAUUCAUAAAAAGAUUUAAGGGUG